rnacentral:lncRNA from 10 species
UCCAGGCUGGGUGACAGAGUGAGACUUCGUCUCAAAAAAAAAAAAGCCAGGCACAGUGGCUCAUGCCUGUAAUCCCAACACUUUGGAAGGCUGAGGUGGGCGGAUCACGAGAUCAGGAGUUCAAGACCAGUUUGACCAAUGUGGUGAAACCCCAUCUCUACUAAAAAUACAAAAAUUAGCCAGGAGUGGUGGCGCGUGCCUGUAGUCCCAGCUACUUGGGAGGCUGAGGCAGGAGAAUCGCUUGAACCCAGGAGGCGGAGGUUGCAGUGAGCCAAGAUCGCACCAUU